UGGAACGCAAGUUCAUUACUACGGUGAAAUAUGUCAGACCAUAAUUAACCUUCAACAAAUAUGAAUUCGCCAAUUGCUGAGCAAAAUUAUGUGGUUCCGAAGGUGGGAGGACGCUCAUUUUGACGUUAUGGAGAAAGAAGGACUUUUAUUUGUCCUGUUACAUUUCCAGCAAAUCACCAGUCAACUGAUUUGCUAUUCAGCUAUUCCGCAGCAUGAGAAGUAUACCGACGUGUAGCUGCCAUACGAGUAAAGGCAGAAAGGCGUCUACGUCAGAUUACCAGAGAAAGUAAAAAGACGUCCUUCGAAAAUGGGUAUGUGAAACUCUGAAGAUGUCUUCCCAGCUACGUAUUGAGUUUUCACAAGCUGUAUCCGUAAUGUUCAAACACAGUCGAUUUGUCAAGGACGGAAACAUUCAAUAGUUGAUGAGAUGACACAGUACCAGACGAAGUGAGAAAUAGAAUUGCCGUGAAGGACGUUAUUGUCAGGAAA